GAAUGGGGUGUUCUGAGGUUGUCUGUGGCUGAACACAGCCAGAUGAAACUGAAAAAUCCCAGCUGUAUUCAUUGACUCCCUUACACUGCUUUUGAACACAUCCCCAAGUUUGGCAGUUAGAGCAUAAGACACCAGUCUUACCAUUAUUUAGUCAUAUGAAUAAGCCAUGAAAUCCAGUAAUCUUUUGCUUUAAGAAUAAGAAAUUCAGCUGAACAUAUGCGUCACUGCUGCACAAGGAACAGAUGUUUCAGAAGACCCAUUUCCAGUGUCUCCAAGAUCUUCCCUGAAAUGUGACUGAUAGCUUCAAACCUGACAUCAUUUAGUUGCAAUCUGGUUGCCUUCUAGAGCUGCAGCACCAUCGUCUCUGCAUUAAUGCCAAUUGGAGCAUGCUUACAUUCUUUACAAAGUUGUUGGGGCUGGACUGGCGGAGGGAGAAGUUUAACCCGACUCCUCUUGCCAAGGCCCGGAGACUCUGCUCCCAGAACAGGGACCUUCAGAGCCAUAGAGGAGAAAGAGGAAACAAAGAGGAACACAGACAAUUCCAUCUCCACGUACAAGCUUACCUGUCACCAUGAGGCUCAGAGGCUGCUGGACAAAUAAGAAUCAGACCUCACAGCUAGGAACAGCCUUCUGGCCUUUGAACUGAUGGCAAAGGUUAUUCAGAUAUUUCACUUGAAUGGUCUUUUAUCAUCUCAGAAAUUAAUGACUAAUAUCUCAAGGUUUUGACUAAGCCAAAGUACAAGGAAUA